CUGGAUUACAGAUUUCACAAGAACAUAGAAGACAUGUCACCCACCAAACUAAAAAAAUCUAAAAUUUGCAGUCGAAAAUAAAACCUUACAAACUUUAUUUACUAAUAACUACCCAAUUUAUUAAGGGGUAAAGCAUAAAACAUGGAACUGAAGAGCAAAUCAUGCAAAAUUGUUUAUAAAAGAAGAUUCAAGGAAAGAAUUGUGCAAAUUUUAUAUGUAGGCAUAAACCUCAAAAACAAUAGGCAAACAAAAGAAGAGAAAGGAAGAACUAACAUUUUCAAAGAAAUUGCCCCAUUGAAAAGCGUUCUUGAUAUUUUGGGAAUCCCAGUGGGCGAAACGACCAGAUGAUUGAUACCCAGAUGCCAGAAUUAAGAUAUCAACGAACCCUUUUAUUAGUGUCAUUAGAUCUUCGAGGGAUAUGCCUGGAUGAGACCACCCCAUUUAUCUUUACUCGGAUAAGACAAGUCCCUGAAAUCCUAAAUGAAAUGGCAAAUUGCAAGAUAAGGAGAUAGAUGAACGACGUAGUAUCAAAUUCCAGGGGAAUUCAAGCCUUCAUUUACAGAGCGAUAGAGAUAGAGAAGGGAGUUUGGGUUCUGGAU
rnacentral:lncRNA from 1 species